AACUUUGGACAAUGGUGGAAACCCUGACCCAGCCUUCCCGCGUGAAUGAUGAAGGCCUUCGGGUUGUAAAGUACUUUUGGCAGAGAAGAAAAGGUAUCUCCUAAUACGAGCUCCUGCUGACGGUAUCUCCAGAGUAAGCACCGGCUAACUACGUGCCAGCAGCCGCGGUAACACGUAGGGUGCAAGCGUUAAUCGGAAUUAGCGGGCGUAAAGCGUGUGUAGGCGGUUCGGAAAGAAAGAUGUGGAAUCCCAGGGCUCAACCUUGGAGCUGCAUUUUUAACUGCCGAGCUAGAGUAUGUCAGAGGGGGGUAGAAUUCCACGUGUAGCAGUGAAAUGCGUAGAUAUGUGGAGGAAUACCGAUGGCGAAGGCAGCCCCCUGGGAUAAUACUGACGCUCAGACACGAAAGCGUGGGGAGCAAACA
rnacentral:rRNA from 1 species